UACGUAGGGGGCAAGCGUUGUCCGGAAUCAUUGGGCGUAAAGAGCUCGUAGGUGGUUCGGUAAGUCGGGUGUUAAACCCCCAGGCUCAACCUGGGGACGCCACUCGAUACUGCUGUGACUUGAGUCCGGUAGGGGAGCGUGGAAUUCCUGGUGUAGCGGUGAAAUGCGCAGAUAUCAGGAGGAACACCAGCGGCGAAGGCGGCGCUCUGGGCCGGUACUGACACUGAGGAGCGAAAGCGUGGGUAGCAAACAGG
rnacentral:rRNA from 1 species